ensembl:snRNA U6 U6 spliceosomal RNA
GUGCUGGCUUUGGCAGCACCUACACUAAAAUUGGGAUGAUACACAGAAGGCUGGCAUGUCUGCCACGCAAGGAUGACACGCAAAAAUGUGCUGCGUUCUGCAAUUUU